UACGUAGGGCGCAAGCGUUGUCCGGAAUUAUUGGGCGUAAAGAGCUCGUAGGUGGUUUGUCGCGUCUGUCGUGAAAGCCCAUGGCUUAACUGUGGGUCUGCGGUGGAUACGGGCAGGCUAGAGUUCGGUAGGGGAGACUGGAAUCCCUGGUGUAGCGGUGGAAUGCGCAGAUAUCAGGAGGAACACCGGGUGGCGAAGGCGACUGCCUGGACCAGCACUGACACUGAGGCACGAAAGCGUGGGGAGCAAACAGG
rnacentral:rRNA from 1 species